CUAACACAACAGGAAGGCUAAUUCACUACCACAACGGUAAGGCUAAUUCACUACCACAACUGGAAGGCUAAUUCACUACCACAACGGGAAGGCUAAUUCACUACCACAACGGGAAGGCUAAUUCACUAACACAACGGGAAGGCUAAUUCACUAACACAACAGGAAGGCUAAUUCACUAUCACAACAGGAAGGCUAAUUCACUAUCACAACAGGAAGGCUAAUUCACUAACACAACGGAAAGGCUAAUUCACUAACACAACAGGAAGGCUAAUUCACUAUCACAACAGGAAGGCUAAUUCACUAACACAACAGGAAGGCUAAUUCACUAUCACAACUGGAAGGCUAAUUCACUAUCACAACAGGAAGGCUAAUUCACUACCACAACAGGAAGGCUAAUUCACUAACACAACGGAAAGGCUAAUUCACUAACACAACAGGAAG
rnacentral:lncRNA from 1 species